UACGUAGGUGACAAGCGUUAUCCGGAAUUACUGGGCGUAAAGCGCACGCAGGCGGUGCGAUAAGUCUGACGUGAAAUCUCCCGGCUUAACUGGGAGGGGUCGUUGGAAACUGUCGUGCUUGAGGCGAUGAGAGGGGUGUAGAAUUCCCGGUGUAGUGGUGGAAUGCGUAGAUAUCGGGAGGAAUACCAGUGGCGAAAGCGGCACCCUGGCAUUAGCCUGACGCUCAUGUGCGAAGGCGUGGGGAGCGAACGGG
rnacentral:rRNA from 1 species